UUAGCUCAUAUUUGUAUGGAAUGGGAUCGUUUGCGUACGUUUGCCGCUAGGGGCGCUGUUCCAACUCCAUACAAAUUUGAGUUA
rfam:Bombyx mori DNA, contig: Bm_scaf14_contig11091, strain: p50T/Dazao, build 2, whole genome shotgun sequence.